UACAGAGGUCCCGAGCGUUGUUCGGAUUCACUGGGCGUAAAGGGUGCGCAGGUGGGUUUGCAAGUUCGAUGUGAAAGCCCCGGGCUUAACCCGGGAAUGGCAUUGGAUACUGCAGAUCUGGAGGAUCGGAGGGGGGACUGGAAUUCUUGGUGUAGCAGUGAAAUGCGUAGAUAUCAAGAGGAACACCAGUGGCGAAGGCGAGUCCCUGGACGAUACCUGACACUGAGGCACGAAAGCUAGGGGAGCGAACAGG
rnacentral:rRNA from 1 species